rnacentral:lncRNA from 1 species
GGUGAACAGGUGCUUGGUGGGCGGGUCUGGAGGGCUCUUCACACCCCCCUGGCGCAGCAGGUGAGGACUGGGUGCGGCCCAGGGCCUGGUGGGGCACGGCGGCCAGGCUGAGGGGUGCCUGGUACACGUGCAGGGGUGGCAGCUGCUGGGCAUCUGUGAACAGCUGGGGCGAGGGGUGGGGGUGAGGCAGGUGAUGAGGGGCAGGUGCCCCAACCCCACACUGCCCGGAGGCCCAGGCCCGCAGGGCUCCUGGGGACAGGCCCGCCGCCUGCCUGCCUGUGCACAUCCCCGGAGGGACCGUGAGUCAGCGAGCAGCUCUGAGGUAAGCAGCGGGGGCGGGGAUGAGUCAGGCCGCUGGGCCCUGCGCUGUGAAUGGAGCGCUGUAGUAGCAGCAGGCAAUGCGUACACACGGCAGCGCAGGACACUGCAGCGCACACGGCACCAGGGCCCCCAAGCUUGGCACGGGGUGGAAGGGCACCUCUGUGUAGCCAGCGCCGGGCUCCUCCAGGUCGGGCCCCUCCUCAGGGCCACUGUCGCCCGCUGGGUCCUGGGCCUGGACGCAGCCGUCCUCCUGGGUGCUCUCGCUCUCCGUGGAGCCCUCCCGGGGCACCGCCAGGGCCCCCUCACCCAGUAGGGCCUCCUGCUGCUCCGUGAGCUCCUCCUCGGUUUCCUCAGGGUGUGUGGUGGGCGGCCUGGGCAGCUCCCCAGUCUUAGUGAGGAUCUGGGGGCAGAAGGCAGGGGCACACACCUCUCAUCCCAGCACUAGGAGGCCGAGGCAGGAGGACCGCGGUGAGCUCCAGGCCAGCUUGGGCUACAUAGCAAGACCCUGUCUCAAAACACCAAGAAACAGAACAGGAAAGCCGCACACGCCCGGCCGCCACCGCCCGGUACCUUGCCCAGCUGCAGCUGCUGCUGCUUUUGCCUCUCCAGGAACUGCUGCUGUGUGACGAGCUGCUGCAGGGCCUGGGGGCUCUGCGGUAGCGGCGAGGACUGCGUUCGACUCAGCGGCCGGUGCCGGGGGAGCUUGCCCGCUGUUCGCAUGCUGGUGGCCACACGCUCGCCUGUCACCAGGGGUGACUGCCCGUGGAUCGGCACUGGGGAGGGGAGGCGCGUGAGCCAUCUGUGCUGCACGGGGCCUGGCACCCCAGCCCAGCCCAGCCCCGAGCCCCCCGGGUGCACACAAGGUCCUGGGCCACCACGUGCAUGGGCAGCCAGGCAGCGCUGACCAGGCCCCCAACCAGCCCGGGGCCAGGGUGGACGCCCACCCUCCCAGGACCUCGGUGAUGCCCACAGGCACCUGAGUGCUGUCCUCCUUUGAGCCACGUGAGCCACAGCUGCCGCCUGUGAGUGGCCACAGAGACCUGGGAACUCAGCCUGUCUACACUGCUCGGCGGACCCCAAAGACUCAGUGUGAAACUGGUAAAAUCCCCAGCAGUGACUACAGUCCGUACACAGAGUUAAUGUUCUUAAUAUUACUUAUGUACUUAUUUACUUCGUUGAUUUUUUUGCCAGGGUCUCGCCAUGCAGUUCAGACUGACCUUGAACUCACUACAUAGCCCAGGCUGGCCUCGAACUCUCAGUGAUCUUCCUGCCUCAGCCUCCCAAGAUCUGGGACUACAGGUGUGCACCACCACACCAGCCUGAAUACAACUUAAAUAUAUGGCAUAAAACUAAUUCCUUGC